AUGACAGACAUAAUUGUUGAAACAGACUGCCAGUCUCUGGUGCGUGCAGUACAGGGAACUGAAUUUGAUCUAGCACCUGAAGGAGUUAUCUUUAAGGACCUGCGUCUUUUUGCUCUUCUGCACUUUAAUUCUGUUAGCUUUUCUUUUACCCCAAGGGGCUGUAAUAUUUUGGCCCAUGUACUUGCUGCCAUGGGUGCUCGUGGACAAUCUCCAAAACAGCUGUGGUCUGAGGAGUUGCCGGACGAUGUAAAAGUUAGGACGGCCAGCGUUUCUGCUGAGCCAGUGGGUUAA
rnacentral:rRNA from 1 species